AUUGAACGCUGGCGGUAUGCCUUACACAUGCAAGUCGAACGGUAGAGGGGCAACCCUUGAGAGUGGCGAACGGGUGAGUAAUACAUCGGAACGUGCCCAGUCGUGGGGGAUAACGUAGCGAAAGCUACGCUAAUACCGCAUACGACCCGAGGGUGAAAGCGGGGGACUCGCAAGAGCCUCGCGCGAUUGGAGCGGCCGAUGGCAGAUUAGGUAGUUGGUGGGGUAAAGGCCCACCAAGCCUGCGAUCUGUAGCUGGUCUGAGAGGACGACCAGCCACACUGGGACUGAGACACGGCCCAGACUCCUACGGGAGGCAGCAGUGGGGAAUUUUGGACAAUGGGCGAAAGCCUGAUCCAGCCAUACCGCGUGCGGGAAGAAGGCCUUCGGGUUGUAAACCGCUUUUGUCAGGGAAGAAAUCUUCUGGGCUAAUACCUCGGGAGGAUGACGGUACCUGAAGAAUAAGCACCGGCUAACUACGUGCCAGCCGCCGCGGUAAUAC
rnacentral:rRNA from 1 species